CACAUUAUUGUGCAGGAAUUUUGGCCGACUCUUCUUUACAGUAUGUAGUGGAAAUUAUACAUUUAGACGUAGUGGAAGAUCAUAUGUUUACUACGAGAAUAUUUGCUAUGACCUGUGUGAAAGGCGAGGGCCGCUUAGCAGCCGAUCAGGAGGAAGGUCACACCACUAAUUUUAGGGCUGUUUCUGACUGGUUCUGUCUGGCUGCUCACAGAAUGAUAAUCAUGGAGCAGAAGUAUAAAGGAGCUGCGAAAGAAAAUAAUUUUGGGCUCUUGUAUGCGGGCUUGGUGUCCCGGCUUACUUGAUGCAUCAAAUAACCUAUUAAAAACUUUGCUGCCUUCAUACCCUGUCUUUGGCUGUCUUUCCACCUGGUGGAACCGGCAGGAUCGCACGAGCAUUGGGACCAGCAGGUAAAUAGAAAACUGGUUCCAAAGCCGCUGCGAUCCAGGGAACCGCAAAGGUGAGACAUUUUAUAUAUAUUUUAUACGUCUGUAUAUUGGUCUCCGAAUUUAAUCAGCCGAGGCGACAAGAACUUGCAAGAAGGUCUGGGAUGGGUCUGGGACCCUUAGGUUUGAGGAAACCUGCCCAGCACUGACGAUCGAGUGUCUGGUAAAAAAUAAAUAAAUACGGUCAGGGACUAGAGAAAGUCGCUCGGGGGUCGGUUCGGGGAAAUCAUUGCUAAGUUUUAAUUUCUAAAAUGGGAUCUGGAGGCAGCAAAGACACGAAGGUGGAUGUUAAGAUAUCUGCUAAUGUAAAUUUGGAUGAUAAUCAAUUACGGAGUUGAGUCAUGUGAACAGUCAUUUAGAUAAAAGAAUGUGGUUUUCAGAACGGAUGUAGUUUUAAUUUGAGACAGAUAAAACAUUCGAAAUAGAGAUUUCAGCAAGUAGAAAGAGAUUAUGAGAAAAGAAGAAAAAGAAUAGGGUGAAUGUGAACUGGACCGCCCUUGGAAACUGGGAGACAGAAGCACAGGGGCGAGAUAGAAAAGGCAGACAGUCGGGGUAGGGGAGGAACUCACAGACUUUUCAGUGUGUUAAACAGGUUGACCCGGACCGGGACUCCUGUCCACCCCGACCAGCCGCCACCAUCACAUGCCGCUGAACGACAUUACCAUCACAUCAGACUGACCAUGCAGUCCCGUACCACAGCCGACAUGACCUCCCCCAUCUCCAGUCACACUCCUUCCUGAAAUUGCCCGACCGCAAAGAACGGGAAGAAACGCGAAUGCCUGUUGGAAAGGAGGGACGUCGGGCAAAAGACUCUCCGAGCCAAGGAGAUAUGAUGGAUGGGAAGGGCUGUAAUGAAGGAGAUCCUCACUAAGCAGGAAAUGCUCCUUGAGCAGCAGUCCCUAAUUCUCAAACUGUUACAAGCUCAGCAACAGACCCUCACUGACAACAUUGAAGAGGGACUUCUACCACUGAAAGACCUGGAAGCUCUGCAUGCUUUGGAAGGCCAACUACACAGUCCAGACAUGAGAGAAAAAUUGAUUAAUCAUUUAGGUCUGACUGGAGGAAACAACGCUAAGGAGACUAUGUGGAGAAUAAUGAAGAGAAUUCUGGGUAACAGCUUGGCGAAAACUAUCAAUUGGAGAGGACUCAAUGGGAAAACCUCCUUUGCUUCCCUUCAUCUUAAAGAUGUGAUCACUGCUGCUGUUAGAAAAAAUCCCCUCACCAAACACACAACAAACAAUGAAGCUGAGAAUGUAAUGAAGCGGUGGCUUCAACUUUGCUGUUGGGAACUUUGCUCAGGAAGGAGGGAGGAAGCGCAG